AUUGAACGCUGGCGGCAGGCCUAACACAUGCAAGUCGAGCGGAUGAAGGGAGCUUGCUCCUGGAUUCAGCGGCGGACGGGUGAGUAAUGCCUAGGAAUCUGCCUGGUAGUGGGGGAUAACGUCCGGAAACGGGCGCUAAUACCGCAUACGUCCUGAGGGAGAAAGUGGGGGAUCUUCGGACCUCACGCUAUCAGAUGAGCCUAGGUCGGAUUAGCUAGUUGGUGGGGUAAAGGCCUACCAAGGCGACGAUUCGUAACUGGUCUGAGAGGAUGAUCAGUCACCCGAGAGCUUGGACGGGGUCCAGGGUCCUGCGAGACGCAGCAGUCGGGUAUAUUGGACAGUGGGCGAAAGCCUGGUCCAGCCGGGCCACGUGUGUGAAGAAAGUCUUCGGAUUGUGAAGCACUUUUAGUGGGGGGGAACGGCAGUAGGUUAAUACCUUGCUGUAUUGACGUUACCAGCAGAAUAAGCACCGGCUAACUUCGUG
rnacentral:rRNA from 1 species